CAGAAUCUUUAGGAUAAUGCCAUAUCAUUUUAACUAAUUAGACAACUUUGAUAUUGAGCAUGUUUACAUUUCAGGAAGUUUAUGUAAUGAUUAAUUUAGAAACUUAUCAGACUAGACUGACACUAGUGGUCCCAGGCAGACUAUCUAAGUAUCAGUAAGCUCCCUUGGCAAAUCUAAUAUUUGAUUCAAAAAUUGCCAUUGUAUAGUUUUCUAUUGCAAUGAUGUAAUGUUUGCAUUUAUCUAGUAAACAAAUAAUAUAUAUCAUAUAAUAAUAUAAAUCUGUAGAGAUUAAGCACUAUUAAUAGUGAAGAAUAACUUUAUUUCUUAAGUAACAAACGUUAAAUGGCAUUUUAAAAUCAUCAACCAAAUGUAGCAACAACAUAGUCUAUUUAUCCAACAAAGUAACACUGUGAUUACAACUUACCUGAAAGAUAAAAAGAUAAGCUAAAGAUAAAAAAAGAGCUAUAAAGGCAAACCUAAGAAAGAUAUAUAUGUCUGAAAGUUAAAAUAGAUCUUUAACCAAUAAUUACCCAGAUUGACCAGGACAUCCCUAGACCUCAGCCAAAUAGUAACAAUUCUAGGGGACAUUCAUUUAUCAUUGUAUAUAGAGAAGUUAUUAAAGAAAGGCCGUUCAUAUGCUCUGAGGACCUCUUUUGUAGUCCUAGAUGAAAUACCACUUAUACCUGUAGACAAUAUCUUCACUUCUAUAGAUAACUUUGAAAAAAAAAUUAAGAUAGUCUUGCCUUAGCCAAAAACUUAGAACUAUUACUUAGGAGAAAGACAAAGAUGCAUGUCUCUUUAAGAGAACACUGAUAUGGCUGAAUCAUAACAACUAUACCAUAACGAAGGAGGAUAAGACACAUAAGAUGGUUCUUUUAAACAGAACAACCUACGACGAAUUACUAAAUGCUUACAUCUCUCAAACAAAUGCUAAACCACUACUGAAAGAUCCAACUAAGAAGUUAGCUCGUAAAGUCAAAACUAUAGUUAAACAUAAGCACUUUACACAAAUCUGGAAAACUAAGAAAGUUAAUGGGCCAGCUUGUCCUAGACUUUUUGCCUAUAUAAAAACUACAAAAAUUUUGUUAGCAGC
rnacentral:lncRNA from 1 species